GACGAACGCUGGCGGCGUGCUUAACACAUGCAAGUCGAACGGUAAGGCCCUUCGGGGUACACGAGUGGCGAACGGGUGAGUAACACGUGGGGGAUCUGCCCUGCACUUCGGGAUAAGCCUGGGAAACUGGGUCUAAUACCGGAUCGGACCUUGCACUUCACGGUGUGGGGUGGAAAGCUUUUGCGGUGUGGGAUGGGCCCGCGGCCUAUCAGCUUGUUGGUGGGGUAAUGGCCUACCAAGGCGACGACGGGUAGCCGGCCUGAGAGGGUGACCGGCCACACUGGGACUGAGAUACGGCCCAGACUCCUACGGGAGGCAGCAGUGGGGAAUAUUGCACAAUGGGCGCAAGCCUGAUGCAGCGACGCCGCGUGAGGGAUGACGGCCUUCGGGUUGUAAACCUCUUUCAGUAGGGACGAAGCGCAAGUGACGGUACCUACAGAAGAAGGACCGGCCAACUACGUGCCAGCCGCCGCCGUAA
rnacentral:rRNA from 1 species